GAUGAACGCUAGCGGCAGGCUUAACACAUGCAAGUCGAGGGGUAUAGGUUUUCGGACCUAGAGACCGGCGCACGGGUGCGUAACGCGUAUGCAAUCUACCUUCCACAGAGGGAUAGCCCAGAGAAAUUUGGAUUAAUACCUCAUAGUAUAGCAGUUUCGCAUGAAACCACUAUUAAAGUAGCAACGGUGAAAGAUGAGCAUGGGUCCCAUUAGCUAGACGGUAAGGUAACGGCUUACCAUGGCCACGAUGGGUAGGGGUCCUGAGAGGGAGAUCCCCCACACUGGUACUGAGACACGGACCAGACUCCUACGGGAGGCAGCAGUGAGGAAUAUUGGUCAAUGGACGCAAGUCUGAACCAGCCAUGCCGCGUGCAGGAUGACGGUCCUAUGGAUUGUAAACUGCUUUUGUACGAGAAGAAACAACAUUACGUGUAAUGUCAUGACGGUAUCGUAAGAAUAAGGAUCGGCUAACUCCGUGCCAGCAGCCGCAGUAAGAC
rnacentral:rRNA from 1 species